rnacentral:rRNA from 1 species
GACGAACGCUGGCGGCGUGCUUAACACAUGCAAGUCGAACGGAAAGGCCCUGCUUUUGUGGGGUGCUCGAGUGGCGAACGGGUGAGUAACACGUGAGUAACCUGCCCUUGACUUUGGGAUAACUUCAGGAAACUGGGGCUAAUACCGGAUAGGAGCUCCUGCUGCAUGGUGGGGGUUGGAAAGUUUCGGCGGUUGGGGAUGGACUCGCGGCUUAUCAGCUUGUUGGUGGGGUAGUGGCUUACCAAGGCUUUGACGGGUAGCCGGCCUGAGAGGGUGACCGGCCACAUUGGGACUGAGAUACGGCCCAGACUCCUACGGGAGGCAGCAGUGGGGAAUAUUGCACAAUGGGCGGAAGCCUGAUGCAGUAACGCCGCGUGCGGGAUGACGGCCUUCGGGUUGUAAACCGCUUUCGCCUGUGACGAAGCGUGAGUGACGGUAAUGGGUAAAGAGGCACCGGCUAACUACGUG